UUAGUUAAUUCUAUUAGUAAUUAUAUAUUUAUCUUAAAAAUUAAACUAUAUAUAUUUAAGUAUAAAUAAUUAUAUAGUAAAACUAUAAAUAGUUUAUUAUAUAAAUUAUUAUUUAUUCAAUAGUAUUUUACUACUUAGAUAAUUAUAAUAAUUCUAAAAUUAAUAUAUACUAAAAAUCCUAAUUUUAGAAGGAAUAUAUUUAUUAGAUUAAAAACUAAUAUUUUUUAAAGCUUAUUAGUAAUUUAUAAUAACUUCUUAAAUUAUAUAGUUUUAUACUAGUAAUAAUUUAUUUAAAUUUCUUUUUUAUUAAUUUUUAAUACUAGAGUAGUAUUUUAAUAUAAUUAUAAUAAGUAAUAAAAGGUUAGAGCUUAAUUUUAGAGAAAGAAUUUGAGAAAUAGCUACUAUAUCUAAGGAAAGUAAUAAAUAUAUAAAUUAUUUAAUCUUAAUAUAAAGAAGUAGUAAUAAUAAAUAUUAAUAUAAAGCUUUUUUAAGUUUUAUAAUUAGAAUAAGUAUAAUUUAAAUUUCUUAAUAAAGAAUAAUUAGAAAGUAAGUCUAGUAUUAAUAACUAUAGUAAUUCUAGUUCUAAUAGUAUAUAUUAAAGUUAUUAUAAUUAAAAAGCUUAUAGUAGAAUUUUAAGUUUAGCUAGCCGGUCCGCCUUAUUAUAUAUAUUAAUCUAGCUAGGUUUUUCUUUCUAUAGAACUAUAUACUUUUUACUAAGUAUAUUAAAGAAAUAGGAUUUUUAUUUUAAAAAAAUUUAAAUAUUCUAAAUAGGUUUAUAUUUAAAUAUGUUAGUAUAGAAUAAUAGAAUAAGAUGUAUAGUUUUAUUUUAUUAGUUUUUAGGAUUAUUAUAAUAAUUAAUAAGGAUAGUUAGAAGUAUUAGUAUUUAAUUAUUAGAAGUAAAAUUUUUAGAUUUAUUAAAAACUAAUUAUGAUGAAAGUAUUUAUUAAAAAUGUUUUUAUUUAUUAGGAAUAAAAAUUAGGGAAUUAAAAAUAACUAGAUAUUAUUAUAGUUUUAAUUAUAAAUUAUACUAACUAGGGAUUAAAUAAUAUUAUUUUUUGAUUUAUUUAGUAUCUUAUAAGAAACCAAAAUACUUAGGCUUUA
rnacentral:ncRNA from 1 species